UACAGAGGUCCCAAGCGUUGUUCGGAUUCAUUGGGCGUAAAGGGUGCGUAGGUGGCGCCGUAAGUGGGGUGUGAAAUUUCGGAGCUUAACUCCGAAACUGCAUUCCAUACUGCGGUGCUUGAGGACUGGAGAGGAGACUGGAAUUUACGGUGUAGCAGUGAAAUGCGUAGAGAUCGUAAGGAACGCCAGUGGCGAAAGCGAGUCUCUGGGCAGCAUCUGACACUGAGGCACGAAGGCCAGGGGAGCAAACGGG
rnacentral:rRNA from 1 species